GCGCACGUAGCUCAGUUGGUUAGAGCAUCCGGCUUAUAACCGGAAGGUUUCGUUGGUUCGAAUCCAACCGUGCGCA
rnacentral:tRNA from 1 species